rnacentral:lncRNA from 1 species
UGCGACAACACUGGAUCCUUUAACCCACUGCAUGGAGCCAGGGAUCAAACCUAUGCCUCCUCAGCAAUCCAAGCCACUGCAGUCAAAUCUUAACCCACUGCACCACAUGGGAAAUCCAACAUCUGAGUGUCUUUAUAUAUAAACUUAUUUAAGUAAAUAAAGUGAGUUAUUUUAAAGCCUGAUGCUAAGCCAAUCCUGAACCAGGUGGCUGGGACACUACCUGUCUAGCCACAGUAGAGCCCAGGUCUAAAGUAAGCAAAAGGAAGCUGACUGGAAAAAAGCAGAAAGGUAAAGUCUUGUCAAAACGCAAGAAGCCUCGUGGCAGGGUAAACAUUUUGGAAAAUAUUUUGUAGGUCUGUUUUCCAAGUGUCUGCAAAGCCAAAUUCCUUGGAAAUAUGUUCUUUGUGCAUGAGUGUGGCAUCUCUCUCAUUUUCCAGAGUGCAUGAAAUAUGCCAAUCUUCAAUUCUGUUAUUCAAAGUUAAAGGCAAAGUUGAAAAAAGCAAAUACAACUUCAUGCUGCAUGCAAAAUAUAAAAGUGCAACCAUAAAUACCGUUUUAAUUUUUAAAAACUUUAUAUCAUUUGGGGAGUUCCCACAGAAGCUCAGUGGAAAGGAAUCUGACUAGCAUCCAUGAGGAUGUAGGUUCAAUCGCUGGCCUCACUCAAUAAGUUAAGGAUCUGGCAUUGUCAUGAGUGUGGUGUAGGUCACAGAUGCAGCUCAGAUCUGGUGUUGCUGUGGCCGUGGCGUAGGCCAGCAGCUACAGCUUAAAUUUGACCCCUAGCCUGGGAACCUCCAUAUGCCCCAGGUACAGCCCUAAAAAAACAAAACAAAACAAAAUUUGUAUCAUUUAAGAUCUGAUCAUAAAACAGAGGAUACAUAAAACACUCACCUGGGGUAAUCGGUAAAACUAUUUACAGAGGUGUGGGGAAACCAAGGGUUAAUGCAAUGUAUGGGGCUAAGGGAGGAAGAACCCACUGAGAAAGUCCACAUAGGAGAACCUACCAGGCACCAAGCUGAGUAUAAAGGGAUAAAUGGAAGAUAACCAGCACAGAAACAAGGCUAUUUUCAAAUAUUUUCAAACAUUUGCUGGGUAUUUAUUUACCACUGUGUAAUCACUAGCUUUAGGCUGGGCUGUGGACUACAGAGAUUAAGAGGGCAGAUAGCUUGGACUCAGCUUGCCACUCAUCAGCUAUGUGAGUUUCUUAUGUCACUGAACUUAGUUUAUUUGGUAAAAUGAGGGACAAAAGCAGUAUUCAUCCUAACACUGGUGUGAGAAGCCAAAGAGUAAAUGUAUUUAUGUUGAUGCUAGAAAGAUAUUACCAGAAUUCAGGUUCUUGUUCAUGCAGCCAAAGAAUGAACUCUGGAACACACAGGCAGCAAGCAAGCAAAAUCUUUAUUAUAAGAAAACAAAUAGCUCCCAGGACAGCUGGGAAGGGGUAGAAGAGCCCCCCUCUCUAUUGUCUUAUAGGGGUUUUUAUCCCUUAAAGAUGGGGGUUACCAAUGUGGGGUACAGAAAGAUGUGGGUUUUUUUCCUCAUUGGCUUUGCCCAAUUACCUAUAUCAGUCCUUGUCCAAUAGGGGUCUUGGAGUGGAAAUGUCCCGUAAGUCUCAUGGUUUCUUUGCCCUUCUCUUCCCGUAAACUGAGUCACAGGGGGUUAGAGAUUAAUGUCCAUCCGGGCAAAGGUACACUCCCUGUAGUAAACAAGGCCUGUGGGGAUGUUACUCUCUGGAAUCUUUAAGCCACAAAUGUUAAUCAAUACAUAUCAAAGAAGGCAUCAAAGCCCAUGCUCCUACAAUGACCACAUGAGUUAUUAUUCUGUCUCAAUGUUAGCCACGAAAAUGUUCAAGAGAAACCUAUGGGAAAAAAGCUUAAAAUUGUGGAAAUUCUAAAUUUAAACUGAAUUAAAUUAGUAUUUCAUAUGACUUGGUCAAAAAUAUUCUAUGUAAUUGACAGAACAUCUGCAAGGCCUCCAAAGCUGUAAAAUGAUCUAGACUAGCAGAGGUGGGUAGGGGUGAUGGUUGUGAUCAGUAAUGGUGGUAAAACCGAGCAGAAUCCUAUGGGGCUUUCCCAAGUACAAAGUACUAAGUAGAAGUACAAACGCCUUCCCAAGUACUAUGUCCCCUGGCUCUUGUUUAGGGAAAUGCUGAAGUCUUCCAGGCUUCCUAGAGACACAAAAGAGGAGGCUCAAGCAGUUAAUUAUUGGGAUGAUAGAGUCCUACACUCAGCGUCUGAUAAAGAAUGAGAUUAACACUAUUGCUCAUAUGAUCUAUAUCUCUGUGUGCAUUAGAAUAAUUGUAGCUUGUUCUGCUCAUAUAUGUUAGCAGGCAACUAAAAUUGUCAGCAAAGAGAUGAUACAGAUCCAUGUUGACAUCUUCCAUUCUAAGAAUAAAAUGCCCCCUAGGUCAGCAUGAAGUUACAGAAGACAGACCUUUGCCCCAGAUGCAUAAAACGGGAAUGAUGUCUGAUGGGAUUUGUCAGCAGCUCAUUUGCCCCUUUUCCGCUUGUUCAUUUCUGUUUUCCUCGGACCUCAAUCAUAAAGAUGAAAUCAUUAGGCAACAUUUAACCUAAGU